rnacentral:miRNA from 1 species
GCAGACACAUUCCAGCCAAUCAGCAGCAGACCCUCCCUCCCAGACCCUCCCACCUCCUGGACAGUAUCCAUUUUACAUUCAUUGUGAAGCUGCAUUCUUAGUGAGCUGUCCAGGAGGUGGGAGGGUCUGGGAGGGAGGGUCUGCUGCUGAUUGGCUGGAAUGUGUCUG